rnacentral:rRNA from 1 species
UACAGAGGUCUCAAGCGUUGUCCGGAUUUAUUGGGCGUAAAGAGCGUGUAGGCGGCCAGGUAGGUCUGGUGUGAAAACUCGAGGCUUAACCUCGAGAUGUCAUCGGAAACCAUUUGGCUAGAGUCCGGAAGAGGAGAGUGGAAUUCCUGGUGUAGCGGUGAAAUGCGCAGAUAUCAGGAAGAACACCAAUGGCGAAAGCAGCUCUCUGGGACGGUACUGACGCUGAGACGCGAAAGCGUGGGGAGCGAACAGG